CGCGUGUAGCAGUGAAAUGCGUAGAUAUGUGGAGGAAUACCAAUGGCGAAGGCAGCCCCCUGGGAUAACACUGACGCUCAUGCACGAAAGCGUGGGGAGCAAACAGGAUUAGAUACCCUGGUAGUCCACGCCCUAAACGAUGCCGACUAGUUGUUGGGAAUUUACAUUCUCAGUAACGUAGCUAACGCGUGAAGUCGGCCGCCUGGGGAGUACGGUCGCAAGAUUAAAACUCAAAGGAAUUGACGGGGACCCGCACAAGCGGUGGAUGAUGUGGAUUAAUUCGAUGCAACGCGAAAAACCUUACCUACCCUUGACAUGUCACUAACGAAGUAGAGAUACAUUAGGUGCCCGUAAGGGAAAGUGAACACAGGUGCUGCAUGGCUGUCGUCAGCU
rnacentral:rRNA from 1 species